rnacentral:tRNA from 2 species
GCCGGUGUGGCGGAAUGGUAGACGCGGGGCACUCAAAAUGCUUUGCUCGCAAGGGCGUGCGGGUUCGAGUCCCGCCACCGGUA